AGCGAACGCUGGCGGCAGGCCUAACACAUGCAAGUCGAACGAAGUCUUCGGACUUAGUGGCGGACGGGUGAGUAACACGUGGGAACGUGCCUUUAGGUUCGGAAUAACUCAGGGAAACUUGUGCUAAUACCGAAUGUGCCCUUCGGGGGAAAGAUUUAUCGCCUUUAGAGCGGCCCGCGUCUGAUUAGCUAGUUGGUGAGGUAAAGGCUCACCAAGGCUGCGAUCAGUAGCUGGUCUGAGAGGAUGACCAGCCACAUUGGGACUGAGACACGGCCCAAACUCCUACGGGAGGCAGCAGUGGGGAAUCUUGCGCAAUGGGCGAAAGCCUGACGCAGCCAUGCCGCGUGGAUGAUGAAGGUCUUAGGAUUGUAAAAUCCCUUCACCGGUGAAGAUAAUGACUGUAGCCGGAGAAGAAGCCCCGGCUAACUUCGUGCCAGCCGCCGCGGUAACAC
rnacentral:rRNA from 1 species